AGCUUUUUGAAUCCGUGCUGAGAUUUCGUCAGACACCAACCCAUUAUGGCUAAUGAGACUUUCAAGAUAAGUGAAGUU
rnacentral:pre_miRNA from 1 species